rnacentral:rRNA from 1 species
CAGUAGCCGCGGGAAAACGUAGGUGGCAAGCGCUGUCCGGAAUUAUUGGGCGUAAAGGGCUCGCAGGCGGUUUCUUAAGUCUGAUGUGAAAGCCCCCGGCUCAACCGGGGAGGGUCAUUGGAAACUGGGAAACUUGAGUGCAGAAGAGGAGAGUGGAAUUCCACGUGUAGCGGUGAAAUGCGUAGAGAUGUGGAGGAACACCAGUGGCGAAGGCGACUCUCUGGUCUGUAACUGACGCUGAGGAGCGAAAGCGUGGGGAGCGAACAGGAUUAGAUACCCGCGUAGUCCCUGUCUCUUAUAC